rnacentral:rRNA from 1 species
CCGGUAAACGGCGGCCGUAACUAUAACGGUCCUAAGGUAGCGAAAUUCCUUGUCGGGUAAGUUCCGACCUGCACGAAUGGCGUAAUGAUGGCCAGGCUGUCUCCACCCGAGACUCAGUGAAAUUGAACUCGCUGUGAAGAUGCAGUGUACCCGCGGCAAGACGGAAAGACCCCGUGAACCUUUACUAUAGCUUGACACUGAACAUUGAGCCUUGAUGUGUAGGAUAGGUGGGAGGCUUGGAAGUGUGGACGCCAGUCUGCAUGGAGCCGACCUUGAAAUACCACCCUUUAAUGUUUGAUGUUCUAACGUUGACCCGUAAUCCGGGUUGCGGACAGUGUCUGGUGGGUAGUUUGACUGGGGCGGUCUCCUCCUAAAGAGUAACGGAGGAGCACGAAGGUUGGCUAAUCCUGGUCGGACAUCAGGAGGUUAGUGCAAUGGCAUAAGCCAGCUUGACUGCGAGCGUGACGGCGCGAGCAGGUGCGAAAGCAGGUCAUAGUGAUCCGGUGGUUCUGAAUGGAAGGGCCAUCGCUCAACGGAUAAAAGGUACUCCGGGGAUAACAGGCUGAUACCGCCCAAGAGUUCAUAUCGACGGCGGUGUUUGGCACCUCGAUGUCGGCUCAUCACAUCCUGGGGCUGAAGUAGGUCCCAAGGGUAUGGCUGUUCGCCAUUUAAAGUGGUACGCGAGCUGGGUUUAGAACGUCGUGAGACAGUUCGGUCCCUAUCUGCCGUGGGCGCUGGAGAACUGAGGGGGGCUGCUCCUAGUACGAGAGGACCGGAGUGGACGCAUCACUGGUGUUCGGGUUGUCAUGCCAAUGGCACUGCCCGGUAGCUAAAUGCGGAAGAGAUAAGUGCUGAAAGCAUCUAAGCACGAAACUUGCCCCGAGAUGAGUU